AUUGAACGCUGGCGGCAGGCCUAACACAUGCAAGUCGGACGGUAGCACAGAGGGCUUGCUCUUGGGUGACGAGUGGCGGACGGGUGAGUAAUGUCUGGGGAUCUGCCCGAUAGAGGGGGGUAACCACUGGAAACGGUGGCUAAUACCGCAUAACGUCGCAAGACCAAAGAGGGGGACCUUCGGGCCUCUCACUAUCGGAUGAACCCAGAUGGGAUUAGUUAGUAGGCGGGGUAAUGGCCCACCUAGGCGACGAUCCCUAGCUGGUCUGAGAGGAUGACCAGCCACACUGGAACUGAGACACGGUCCAGACUCCUACGGGAGGCAGCAGUGGGGAAUAUUGCACAAUGGGCGCAAGCCUGAUGCAGCCAUGCCGCGUGUAUGAAGAAGGCCUUCGGGUUGUAAAGUACUUUCAGCGGGGAGGAAGGCGGUGAGGUUAAUAACCUUGCCGAUUGACGUUACCCGCAGAAGAAGCACCGGCUAACUCCGUGCCAGCCGCCGCAGUAA
rnacentral:rRNA from 1 species